AUGAUGAAUUCGGGAGAGAACAAGGGCUGUCCGGCUUGGGCCGGCGCUUCAGUCGCCGAAGGGGCAAACGCGUAAAACUCUCAGGCAAAAGUACCGAAUUCUGACG
rnacentral:ncRNA from 2 species